rnacentral:rRNA from 1 species
GAUGAACGCUGGCGGCGUGCCUAAUACAUGCAAGUCGAGCGAACGGACGAGAAGCUUGCUUCUCUGAUGUUAGCGGCGGACGGGUGAGUAACACGUGGAUAACCUACCUAUAAGACUGGGAUAACUUCGGGAAACCGGAGCUACUACCGGAUCAUAUUUUGAACCGCAUGGUUCAAAAGUGAAAGACGGUCUUGCUGUCACUUAUAGAUGGAUCCGCGCUGGAUUAGCUAGUUGGUAAGGUAACGGCUUACCAAGGCGACGAUGCAUAGCCGACCUGAGAGGGUGAUCGGCCACACUGGAACUGAGACACGGUCCAGACUCCUACGGGAGGCAGCAGUGGGGAAUCUUCCGCAAUGGGCGAAAGCCUGACGGAGCAAUGCCGCGUGAGUGAUGAAGGUCUUCGGAUCGUAAAGCUCUGUUAUUAGGGAAGAACAUAUGUGUAAGUAACUGUGGACAUCUUGACGGUACCUAAUCAGAAAGCCACGGCUAACUACGUG